ACAUAUGAUUUUAAAUGAAAAAAUUAUCAACUACAAAGUUUCAUAACUUUUUGAGAUCUACAACUUUCAUUUUGGCGGUUUUUUCAUACGAGGUCAUUUGAAAAACUCAAAGAAAUCAAUUUCAAAUUAUUUCUACAAACGGUUCUCUUAAGAAACCACUAAUAGAAAUCUGAUUUUUAGUGGCAGUUUCUUAAGAAAACUGCUUGUAGAAAUAUAUGAUUUUUAGUGGCGGUUUUGGUAGAAAAACCGCGUGUGCAAAUCCAUUUUCACUCGCGGUUCACUUAAGAGAACUGCCAGUGAAAAUGCACCAUUUGUACUAACGAUUUUCUUAAAAAAAUUGUGAGUAAAAAUAUAUUUCCACUGACGGUUCUUGAGUCAGCCCCACCAAUUUUUUUUCAUUGGCACUUUUAAAUUGAAACUGCCUAUAAAAAUUAUGCUCCACCGCCAGCAUAGAGUUUUUCUGUACUAGUGUCACACACCGACGACCAAGGUGUCACCACCCAAACGAUUGUGGCCACUACCCCUUCAUCUCAUUAUGCUAGCACCCCCACCUUUCCUCUCCUAUGGCGACUAAGGGGAUCACCGUACCCUGACUCGACGGGGGCAAGGUGCUUUCAGUAGGGGAAAGGCGUAUAUGAUUACUACUUAAACCGCGGUGGGCAAAAAAAUUUAACCGAGGAAAUUUUUACAACCACAUCAAACAAAAGAUCACAGUUAAUCGUGGUCUUAACUGAGGCAGUUGCCCCACUCGCCUUGGUAAAUCGAGUAAAAAAAUAGAAAACACUACUGCCUAAAAAAUUAUCAGAGGCGGGCAAAAAUAGCUUAACUGAGGCGUUUUGGCCAACUGCCUCGGAUCAAAGGUCAUGGUUAAUGUGACAUUUUCUAAGGUGAUUUGAUGCCCGCCUCGGUUAAUAAAAUAAAAAAACAAAAAAGCAGAUAAGCCCAUCGAUGGGCCUGCCAAGCCCAUUCGCACUGCCGCUAGCUGGACUCGCCAUCGUCGGCACCCUGUCGCAGAUCCGCAGGUAGGGGAGUGUUGGCGUUUCUUAGGGAAACUAUUAAAGAUAGAGUUUUAGUCCAUCUUUAAUAAUAACACUAGAAACAUUCUUGGCAUAACCUAACCACCAUCACUUCAGAAAGAUAAACCAAGGCCUUUUACGGCGCUGGCCUAGGCAGUGCAGUCUGGUACUGAUGAUUAGAAUUGCCAGAUUGGCCUUCCUAACCAUCCUUACUUACGAUAUGCAAAGCUGUGGCCUGGCGCCGUGUGGGUGCACGAGGAUUACAAUCUUAAGUAAAGGUACUUAGGUACGCCAAUCGAUAGCUCAGUUAUAGGAAUAAAUUACUCUGCAAGCGCACAGAACUGUCAUUGUAGCAUUUCAACCCAUGAGUAUGGAGGGGUGUCGUAUUUAUAAUUUCCCGUAGGAAGGCAUUGUGAACGCAUCUAGCUUUGGUUAUAAACAUGAUUACUUAUUGAAAUGCAUGGUAGACAUAGUAUAAACAUAGGUAAGUAUGUAGUUGAUUUGAUAGCGGACACACAUCGGAGCAACCUCAAGGAAUAAAGGGAAAACAAAGAAUAAAGGAACAACUACACGAGCAGGCAUGGUCGUAUACAAGUUAUACAACAGAUCUGUUACCAGGUCAUCUAGCUAAUAAGAAUAAGUUAGAGCUAAGUCUGAGAUACUGGGGAGAUCUCCGUAGCUGGUCUGCCAGCAAAUAGAGACUUUACAUGACUCCUACCGAAUAUCUGAAUGUGGGGGAAUACGAAGGAUGACAGGGCUGUCACCACCCUACCACCUACCCCUGUGUCCGUGGGAUACCCGCAUAUCCUCGGGUCUCCGCAUAUCCGAGCACCAUGCCCGUGUACUUGGAAACACCCCCUAGCCUCCCGGGACCCCAACCCUUCGGAUUGACAGGCUCGGCUAAGGGUGACCAUUACAGCCC
rnacentral:lncRNA from 1 species